rnacentral:rRNA from 1 species
GGAUCUGGCAUCGAUGAAUUAACGCGAGCGAAACGCAAAAAGAGUGUGAAUUGCAGAAUUCAGUGAAUCAUCCAAUCUUUGAACGCACAUUGCGCCCCUUGGAAUUCCAUGGGGCAUGCCUGUUCGAGCGCCAUUUGUACCCUCAAGCUAGGCUUGGUGUUGGGUGUUGGUCCUAUCCAUUGCGACUGGACUCGCCUUAAAGAUAUCGGCAGCCGGCAUUUUGGUUCUUGGAGCGCAGCGCGGGGGGGGAGACCAAACCAAAAAACAGACAUCCACAUACGCUGUUACCCGUCUGACCCCGGAUCAGGUAGGGAUACCCGCCGAACUUAACCAUAUCAAUAAGCGGAGGA